rnacentral:rRNA from 1 species
GAUGAACGCUGGCGGCGUGCCUAAUACAUGCAAGUCGAGCGAACGGACGAGAAGCUUGCUUCUCUGAUGUUAGCGGCGGACGGGUGAGUAACACGUGGAUAACCUACCUAUAAGACUGGGAUCACUUCGGGAAACCGGAGCUAAUACCGGAUAAUAUUUUGAACCGCAUGGUUCAAAAGUGAAAGACGGUCUUGCUGUCACUUCUAGAUGGAUCUGCGCUGCAUUAGCUAGUUGGUAAGGUAACGGCUUACCAAGGCAACGAUGCAUAGCCGACGUGAGAGGGUGAUCGGCCACACUGGAGCUGAGACACGGUCAAUACGCCUACGGGAGGCAGCAGUAGGGAAUCUUCCGCAAUGGGCGAAAGCCUGACGGAGCAACGCCGCGUGAGUGAUGAAGGUCUUCGGAUCGUAAAACUCUGUUAUUAGGGAAGAACAUAUGUGUAAGUAACUGUGCACAUCUUGACGGUACCUAAUCAGAAAGCCACGGCUAACUACGUG